rnacentral:rRNA from 1 species
GAUGAACGCUAGCGGCAGGCCUAAUACAUGCAAGUCGAACGGUGUCUUCGGACAUAGUGGCGCACGGGUGCGUAACACGUAUGCAACCUACCUUACAUUGGGGGAUAGCCUUUCGAAAGGGAGAUUAAUACCGCAUAAGACAGUAACUAGGCAUCUAGUAGCUGUUAAAGAUUUAUCGAUGUAAGCUGGGCAUGCGUCCAAUUAGCUAGUUGGUGAGGUAACGGCUCACCAAGGCAAUGAUUGGUAGGGGAACUGAGAGGUCAAUCCCCCACACUGGCACGGGGUUACGGGCCAGACUCCUGCGGGAGGCAGCAGUAGGGAAUAUGGGGCAAUGGACGCAAGUCUGACCCAGCCAUGGCGCGUGCAGGAUGAAGGCGUUAUGCGUUGUAAACUGCUUUUAUACAGGAAGAAACGACUCUUGCGAGAGGCAUUGACGGUACUGUAUGAAUGAGCACCGGCUAACUCCGUGCCAGCAGCCGCCGUAAGAC